AACGGUCUAUACCUGCGGUACCUGCGGAAGGAUCAUUACCGAGUUUACAACUCCCAAACCCAAUGUGAACGUUACCAAACUGUUGCCUCGGCGGGAUCUCUGCCCCGGGUGCGUCGCAGCCCCGGACCAAGGCGCCCGCCGGAGGACCAACCAAAACUCUUUUUGUAUACCCCCUCGCGGGUUUUUUAUAAUCUGAGCCUUCUCGGCGCCUCUCGUAGGCGUUUCGAAAAUGAAUCAAAA
rnacentral:misc_RNA from 1 species